rnacentral:rRNA from 1 species
GGGUUGUGAGGUUAAGCGACUAAGCGUACACGGUGGAUGCCCUGGCAGUCAGAGGCGAUGAAGGACGUGCUAAUCUGCGAUAAGCGUCGGUAAGGUGAUAUGAACCGUUAUAACCGGCGAUUUCCGAAUGGGGAAACCCAGUGUGUUUCGACACACUAUCAUUAACUGAAUCCAUAGGUUAAUGAGGCGAACCGGGGGAACUGAAACAUCUAAGUACCCCGAGGAAAAGAAAUCAACCGAGAUUCCCCCAGUAGCGGCGAGCGAACGGGGAGCAGCCCAGAGCCUGAAUCAGUAUGUGUGUUAGUGGAAGCGUCUGGAAAGGCGCGCGAUACAGGGUGACAGCCCCGUACACAAAAAUGCACAUAUUGUGAGCUCGAUGAGUAGGGCGGGACACGUGGUAUCCUGUCUGAAUAUGGGGGGACCAUCCUCCAAGGCUAAAUACUCCUGACUGACCGAUAGUGAACCAGUACCGUGAGGGAAAGGCGAAAAGAACCCCGGCGAGGGGAGUGAAAAAGAACCUGAAACCGUGUACGUACAAGCAGUGGGAGCACGCUUAGGCGUGUGACUGCGUACCUUUUGUAUAAUGGGUCAGCGACUUAUAUUCUGUAGCAAGGUUAACCGAAUAGGGGAGCCGAAGGGAAACCGAGUCUUAACUGGGCGUUAAGUUGCAGGGUAUAGACCCGAAACCCGGUGAUCUAGCCAUGGGCAGGUUGAAGGUUGGGUAACACUAACUGGAGGACCGAACCGACUAAUGUUGAAAAAUUAGCGGAUGACUUGUGGCUGGGGGUGAAAGGCCAAUCAAACCGGGAGAUAGCUGGUUCUCCCCGAAAGCUAUUUAGGUAGCGCCUCGUGAAUUCAUCUCCGGGGGUAGAGCACUGUUUCGGCAAGGGGGUCAUCCCGACUUACCAACCCGAUGCAAACUGCGAAUACCGGAGAAUGUUAUCACGGGAGACACACGGCGGGUGCUAACGUCCGUCGUGAAGAGGGAAACAACCCAGACCGCCAGCUAAGGUCCCAAAGUCAUGGUUAAGUGGGAAACGAUGUGGGAAGGCCCAGACAGCCGAGGAUGUUGGCUUAGAAGCAGCCAUCAUUUAAAGAAAGCGUAAUAGCUCACUGGUCGAGUCGGCCUGCGCGGAAGAUGUAACGGGGCUAAACCAUGCACCGAAGCUGCGGCAGCGACACUAUGUGUUGUUGGGUAGGGGAGCGUUCUGUAAGCCUGUGAAGGUGUGCUGUGAGGCAUGCUGGAGGUAUCAGAAGUGCGAAUGCUGACAUAAGUAACGAUAAAGCGGGUGAAAAGCCCGCUCGCCGGAAGACCAAGGGUUCCUGUCCAACGUUAAUCGGGGCAGGGUGAGUCGACCCCUAAGGCGAGGCCGAAAGGCGUAGUCGAUGGGAAACAGGUUAAUAUUCCUGUACUUGGUGUUACUGCGAAGGGGGGACGGAGAAGGCUAUGUUGGCCGGGCGACGGUUGUCCCGGUUUAAGCGUGUAGGCUGGUUUUCCAGGCAAAUCCGGAAAAUCAAGGCUGAGGCGUGAUGACGAGGCACUACGGUGCUGAAGCAACAAAUGCCCUGCUUCCGAGGAAAAGCCUCUAAGCAUCAGGUAACAUCAAAUCGUACCCCAAACCGACACAGGUGGUCAGGUAGAGAAUACCAAGGCGCUUGAGAGAACUCGGGUGAAGGAACUAGGCAAAAUGGUGCCGUAACUUCGGGAGAAGGCACGCUGAUAUGUAGGUGAAGUCCCUCGCGGAUGGAGCUGAAAUCAGUCGAAGAUACCAGCUGGCUGCAACUGUUUAUUAAAAACACAGCACUGUGCAAACACGAAAGUGGACGUAUACGGUGUGACGCCUGCCCGGUGCCGGAAGGUUAAUUGAUGGGGUUAGCCGCAAGGCGAAGCUCUUGAUCGAAGCCCCGGUAAACGGCGGCCGUAACUAUAACGGUCCUAAGGUAGCGAAAUUCCUUGUCGGGUAAGUUCCGACCUGCACGAAUGGCGUAAUGAUGGCCAGGCUGUCUCCACCCGAGACUCAGUGAAAUUGAACUCGCUGUGAAGAUGCAGUGUACCCGCGGCAAGACGGAAAGACCCCGUGAACCUUUACUAUAGCUUGACACUGAACAUUGAGCCUUGAUGUGUAGGAUAGGUGGGAGGCUUUGAAGUGUGGACGCCAGUCUGCAUGGAGCCGACCUUGAAAUACCACCCUUUAAUGUUUGAUGUUCUAACGUUGACCCGUAAUCCGGGUUGCGGACAGUGUCUGGUGGGUAGUUUGACUGGGGCGGUCUCCUCCUAAAGAGUAACGGAGGAGCACGAAGGUUGGCUAAUCUGGUCGGACAUCAGGAGGUUAGUGCAAUGGCAUAAGCCAGCUUGACUGCGAGCGUGACGGCGCGAGCAGGUGCGAAAGCAGGUCAUAGUGAUCCGGUGGUUCUGAAUGGAAGGGCCAUCGCUCAACGGAUAAAAGGUACUCCGGGGAUAACAGGCUGAUACCGCCCAAGAGUUCAUAUCGACGGCGGUGUUUGGCACCUCGAUGUCGGCUCAUCACAUCCUGGGGCUGAAGUAGGUCCCAAGGGUAUGGCUGUUCGCCAUUUAAAGUGGUACGCGAGCUGGGUUUAGAACGUCGUGAGACAGUUCGGUCCCUAUCUGCCGUGGGCGCUGGAGAACUGAGGGGGGCUGCUCCUAGUACGAGAGGACCGGAGUGGACGCAUCACUGGUGUUCGGGUUGUCAUGCCAAUGGCACUGCCCGGUAGCUAAAUGCGGAAGAGAUAAGUGCUGAAAGCAUCUAAGCACGAAACUUGCCCCGAGAUGAGUUCUCCCUGACUCCUUGAGAGUCCUGAAGGAACGUUGAAGACGACGACGUUGAUAGGCCGGGUGUGUAAGCGCAGCGAUGCGUUGAGCUAACCGGUACUAAUGAACCGUGAGGCUUAACCUUACAACGCCGAAGCUGUU